rnacentral:rRNA from 1 species
AUUGAACGCUGGCGGCAUGCUUUACACAUGCAAGUCGAACGGCAGCGCGGGCUUCGGCCUGGCGGCGAGUGGCGAACGGGUGAGUAAUACAUCGGAACGUGCCCAGUAGUGGGGGAUAGCUCGGCGAAAGCCGGAUUAAUACCGCAUACGACCUGAGGGUGAAAGCGGGGGAUCUUCGGACCUCGCGCUAUUGGAGCGGCCGAUGGCAGAUUAGCUAGUUGGUGGGGUAAAGGCCUACCAAGGCGACGAUCUGUAGCUGGUCUGAGAGGACGACCAGCCACACUGGGACUGAGACACGGCCCAGACUCCUACGGGAGGCAGCAGUGGGGAAUUUUGGACAAUGGGCGAAAGCCUGAUCCAGCAAUGCCGCGUGUGUGAUGAAGGCCUCCGGGUUGUAAAGCACUUUUGGCGGGAACGAAAAGGACUGUGCCAAUACCACGGUUCGAUGACGGUACCCGCAGAAUAAGCACCGGCUAACUACGUG